GUGGGUCGGAAGUCACGUAAAUCCGUUGUUCCUGUUGCUGAAUAACCACUGGUUCCAUGCAACGUAAAAACACCAUACAAACAAAAAACAAAAUAUCGAAUGAUUCAGUAAUAAACAAAUAAACAUUAACUAAAUCUUAGACAUGAAACUGGGGAAAAUUGUAGAUGGCGCUAGUAAUACCCAGUAAAACCAAAGAAAUGGAUUUUGAAGUAUUCCUGACCAGUUUAACUUCAUUAUUCUUCAGUCCUUGCUUGCCCAGGUCUACACAAAGACGGAGCCUGAAAAACUGAAAGCGCCAUUUUGAAUGUCAUUGCUGUCUCUGAGGUUUCAUACGGAAGUUUAAGGAACUUUUCACGAAGCUUAAGUGUCGUGUGGUACGAGAGUCAGAUUUCGCCUAAGAAGAAGAAGAAGAAAAAAAGUUUGCUGGAAGCUUGUGAUAUUUUAGUGCCCUGCGAUACGACAGUGUAAGUGGAACGAGGUUCACCUUCUUCGCCAUAUCGAAUAACUCGAUGCCAAAAGAUAAUCAUAUGGAAAAUAUUUGUUAAAGAUGGGAACUACAUAAGGCUUAUGUGAAAACGUGGUAGCGUGGAAUAUGACAUGCAGGUGGACAUUGUCAAAUAAUUCCCUCAGGUAGUGACGGAUAUCGAUAAAUACCUCUGCGGAAUGUUUUUCACCGGUCAGCUGCCAUCUUGCACAUUGGAAUGUCAAGACUAGCUACGGAACAUUAAGAAGUCACUGGUUCCCAUUUUUAUAUGAGGUCGCCAUUUCGGAAGAGCCGUUCUGAACCUUCAUCCCCAUAGUAUGUCUCCCAACGUGGUCCUCAUCUGUCCUCAACAGCUGUCCAUACCAUUGUACACGCGCCAUGUGGGCAUUUAGUCCAAAGAUUAAAGCUCAAAGGUUGGCAACGAUGUGUCGUCUAGUUUGAAGCGGCCAGCCUAAGGAACUCAAGUCAUCGGCCUAUCAAAAUUUAUAUUCUGUCGAUUCAAGUAAUGAAUUGGAAACAUAAUAAGCUUGAAUGCAUAACGUUUUUCAUAAAUGUUUAAUGAUAAAAUUUGACUUCCAAAUACUUUGUUGAAUAAGCCUCAAGAAGUUUUUGUUUGUUUGUAUGGCUUUUUUACGUUGCAUAGAACAAGUGGUUAUUCAGCAACGGGACCAACAAGAAGUUUUACAUUUAUUAUUUCGUGGAAUGUAGAUUAUUUUUCGACAGAGGAGGUGCUCAGGAAACGUGAAAGAUCUAUGCAGGGCAGGUGGAUGUUGUCAAACAUGUCCGCGCAGUGUUGGGUAUCGAGAAGUAGUACCAGUGCAGAAUGAGUAUACAGUCGGCGAAUUCAAUCACUAUCUUGGACGGGCGACUCUGAUGAAAGUGCAAGGCACAAGACAAUAUAGGACAUAAAGAAUUAUGUUGGCAAUGAAAAUGUUUUGGGCCUGGAUGAAUCCUCGGACUGUCAAUUUCAAUUGUAUUUUACCAAUUUAGUUAGCAACAUGUGGAAGCAUGGUAAUUCUCACUAGCCAGGCAUGGAAAGGAAAAUUCGUAAUAGAGCAGUUCUUUCGUUGGGUAGGGAAUCAAGAAAGGCCUUGAAGGUUAUACACUUACUGUAAAUGGUAGCUCGUUUAUGGAGAUAAGUUUUUACCGAUGAAGCACUAAGUGGCACUGGUGGUGAUCUGAUGCAAUAUGGAGAUAAGUUUUUACCAAUGAAGCACUAAGUGGCACUGGUGGUGACCUGAUGCAAGUACUACAAGCAACACAGGUGUAAAGGAAGAUCAAGAGAAGGGACGAGUUUGCUUUUAAAGCGUUCGACUGAAGCGACAUGGUGAUUUAGUUUCGGUGUUUUUACGUUGCAUGAA